CAGAGGUCUCAAGCGUUGUUCGGAUUCAUUGGGCGUAAAGGGUGCGUAGGCGGCGCGGUAAGUCGGGUGUGAAAUCUCGGGGCUUAACUCCGAAACUGCAUUCGAUACUACCGUGCUUGAGGACUGGAGAGGAGACUGGAAUUUACGGUGUAGCGGUGAAAUGCGUAGAUAUCGUAAGGAAGACCAGUGGCGAAGGCGGGUCUCUGGACAGUUCCUGACGCUGAGGCACGAAGGUCAGGGGAGCAAGCGGG
rnacentral:rRNA from 1 species